GACGAACGCUGGCGGCGUGCUUAACACAUGCAAGUCGAACGGAAAGGCCCUGCUUUUGUGGGGUGCUCGAGUGGCGAACGGGUGAGUAACACGUGAGUAACCUGCCCUUGACUUUGGGAUAACUUCAGGAAACUGGGGCUAAUACCGGAUAGGAGCUCCUGCUGCAUGGUGGGGGUUGGAAAGUUUCGGCGGUUGGGGAUGGACUCGCGGCUUAUCAGCUUGUUGGUGGGCGAGUGGCUUACCAAGGCUUUGACGGGUAGCCGGCCUGAGAGGGUGACCGGCCACAUUGGGACUGAGAUACGGCCCAGACUCCUACGGGAGGCAGCAGUGGGGAAUAUUGCACAAUGGGCGGAAGCCUGAUGCAGCAACGCCGCGUGCGGGAUGACGGCCUUCGGGUUGUAAACCGCUUUCGCCUGUGACGAAGCGUGAGUGACGGUAAUGGGUACAGAAGCACCGGCUAACUACGUG
rnacentral:rRNA from 1 species